rnacentral:rRNA from 1 species
CUGACCCAGCCAUCCCGCGUGAAGGAUUAAGGCCCUAUGGGUUGUAAACUUCUUUUGCUUGGGACGAAAUCUGGACAUUUAUGUGCAGUUGACGGUACCUUGCGAAUAAGCACCGGCUAACUCCGUGCCAGCAGCCGCGGUAAUACGGAGGGUGCGAGCGUUAUCCGGAAUCACUGGGUUUAAAGGGUGCGUAGGCUGUUUAAUAAGUCAGUGGUGAAAGGCCGUCGCUUAACGAUGUGCUGACCAUUGAUAUUGUUAGGACUUGAGAAUNAGUAGAGGUGGGCGGAAUGUAUCAUGUAGCGGUGAAAUGCGUAGAUAUGCUACAGAACACCGAUUGCGAAGGCAGCUCACUGGACUACAUCUGACGCUAAUGGACGAAAGCGUGGGUAGCGAACAGGAUUAGAUACCCUGGUAGUCCACGCCCUAAACGAUGUUUACUCGACAUGUGGACAAUUGGGUGUAUGUGUCUAAGCGAAAGCGUUAAGUGAACCACCUGGGGAGUACG